rnacentral:lncRNA from 1 species
CUGCCUGCCCUUCAUGAAGGCUCAGUGGAGCUUUUCAGGCCAAAGUAGGAAAACAAAGAAGAAGGGCUCUAUCCUGGCCCCCCUCCUGGUCUCUGAGAGCCCCCAACACUCGUCAGUCCACCUCCCAGACUGGAGUGCAGUGGUGCGAUCACAGCUUACUGCAGCCUCACCUCCAGGGCUCAAGCCAGCCUCCCAGGCACUGGCUUCCUCUGGGCAGAUGUUGCCAACUCAGAGCCCCUUUUAUUCUGAACCCUGGACCAUGGGCAUGUGGUGGACAGAAUAAUGAUACCCUUCAAGAUGCCCACAUCCUAAUCUCCAGAAGCUCAUCACUCAGGGGAAGACCUGGUUCAUCAGCCGCCUGCCUCAGACUCUUUGCCUGCCCUGCUUCCCUUGUUCAUUGGUCCUCUCCAAGCCCUGAGGGGGAUGCUUAACGUCCACUGGAAGGGAUUCCAGAGUAAAGCGUCCACACCCACACCACAGGGAGCAGAACAUCUCCCCGAUGAGUAAACGAGAGAGUGGUCCUGUGGCUGAUAGUGCCCUCUCACCUGAUGGGCAAAGUCAAAGAUAAUCUGUCAAAGGAGGAAGCUAUCCUUGACUUAGCACAACACAGAGACCAAGAGAAGAGAUGGAGGAAAGAAAAGACUUCUCAGGAACUGGCCUCCAGCCUCAGCUUCCCAAGUAGCUGGGACUACAGGCAUGAUUGCCCAGCUAAUUUUUUUUUUUUUUGUAUUUUUUGUAGAAACAAGUUUGCUGGGCAACCAGCAAGUUGCCCAGGCUGGUCUUGAACUCCUGAGCUCAAAGCAGUCCACCUGCCUCGGCCUUCCAAAAUGCUGGGAUUACAGGUGUGAGCCACUGCUCCCAGCCAAAGUAAGAUAUUUUGAGAGAGACAGAGAGAGAGGAUAUUCACAUAACUUUUAUUACAGUGCUAUAUCAAUAGGCUAAAAAAUAAUAAUCCUAUAAUCAUAUCAAUUGAUACAGAAUAAAGCAUUUCACAAAAUCCAACACUCAUUUAUGAUUUUUUAAGAAGUCAAUUUUUUAAAUUGGGAAACCAACAUAAUAAAUCUAAACUUAUUGAAAAAUGAAAUCAGUAACUAAUCUUCUCUGUUUCAUUCCAACUUUAGUAUAUAUGCUUCCAAAGUAAGAACUCAUUUACGAUUUUUUUUUUUUUUUUUUUUUUUUUUACAGCUAUCACGGGUGAUUUUAAUUUUCAACUUUAGGCUUCCAUUUUCAAAUUCCACAAUGAACACAUAAGGUGGAGUUCUGGUUUCAACACACACACACACACACACACACACACACACUCCUGCCUCCUAGUGGGCAGAGAUUUUUGUUCACAAAGAAUCUUCUGCCAAAUGCCUCCGAGGUACACGUAGGUCUUGGGGAGCCCAUGGGCCAACUGUUUUGUGGGCACUCCUGUCUUCGGUAGGCAGGUUCUUCAGAGCUUUGAGACCUCCACAACCUUGCGCUGCUCUCCUGGGGCAGCCUUCAUGCAGGGGUGUCCUGAGGACUUCCCAGGGCACCCAACUUCAGCACUGUCAUCCAGUGUGCGUUUCACGGAACUUUUUUUCCCAGGAGAAAUAACUUUAUUUGAACUGAGAGCUGGAGAAUGAGACAAGGACUUGAGACAGCAUGAGUAGAGGUGAGGUUCCAAAACGGCAGUCAGAGCUCAUCCACCAAACAGACUCCACUUUCCCAGCAACCUUGCAGUUAGUGCCACCAACAAAAGGUCCACUGGGAAAUAUAUUUGCCACAAAAUUACCCAAGUAUGCCAACAUUACAAAAAAGAUACAGAUUUUUCAUCGUAAUUAAAUUUCCACAAAACCCCCAAAUCACAAGUGUUUUGUUUUUUUUUUUUGAGACGGAGUUUUGCUUUUUUCGCCCAGGCUGUAGUGCAGUGGCACAAUCUCGGCUCACAGCAACCUCUGCCUCCCAGGUUCAAGCAAUUCUCCUGCCUCAGUCUCCCAAGUAGCCGGGACUACAGUCGCCCAAAACCACAUUGUGGGGAAAAGAAAGAGAGAUCAGAUUGUUACUGUGUCUGUGUAGAAAGAAGUAGACAUAGGAGACUCCAUUUUGUUCCCUACUAAGAAAAAUUCUUCUGCCCUGAGAUGCUGCCAAUCUGUAACCCUUCCCCCAACCCUGUGCUCCCCGAAACAUGCGCUGUGUCAACUCAGGGCCAAAUGGAUCAAGGGCUGUGCAGGGUGUGCUUUGUUAAACAAAUGCUUGAAGGCAGCAUGCUUGUUAAGAGUCAUCACCACUCCCCAAUCUCAAACCACUCCCCAAUCUCAAGUACCCAGAGACACAAAACACUGCAGAAGGCCGCAGGGACCUCUGCCCAGGAAAGCCAGGCACCGUCCAAGGUUUCUCCCCAUGUGAGAGUCUGAAAUAUGGCCUUGUGGGAAGGGAAAGACCUGACCGUCCCCCAGCCCGACACCCGACACCCGUAAAAGGUCUGUGCUGAGGAGGAUUAGUAAAAGAGGAAGGAACGCCUUUUUGCAGUUGAGAUAAGAGGAAGGCUUCUGUCUCCUGCUCAUCCCUGGGCAAUGGAAUGUCUGGGUGUAAAGCUGAUUGUAUAUUCCAUCUACUGAGAUAGGAGAAAACCGCCUUAGGGCUGGAGGUGGGACAUGCUGGCAGCAAUACUGUUCCUUAAGGCAAUGAGAUGUUUAUGUAUAUGCACAUCAAAAGCACAGCACUUUUUUCUUUACCUUGUUUAUGGUGCAGAGACAUUUGUUCACGUGUUUACCUUCUGACCUCCCCACCAUUAUCCUAUUAUCCUGUCACGCCCGAUAAUGAGCAAUAAAUACUAAGGGAACGCAGCAGCCGGGGCUGGCGUGGAUCCUCCAUAUGCUGAAUGCCUGUCCCCUGGGCCCCUUUUUCUUUUUUUUUUUUUUUUUUUUUUUUU